CCUACGGGAGGCAGCAGUGAGGAAUAUUGGUCAAUGGACGCGAGUCUGAACCAGCCAUGUCGCGUGCAGGAAGACGGAUCAAUGUAUUGUAAACCGCUUUUGUACGGGAGCAAACGCAGGUACGGGUACCUGUCUGAAAGUAUCUGACGAAUAAGUAUCGGCUAACUCCGUGCCAGCAGCCGCGGUAAUACGGAGGAUUCAAGCGUUAUCCGGAUUUAUUGGGGUUAAAGGGUGCGUAGGCUGGCGGAUAAGUUAGGGGGGAAAUCCCGAGGCUCAACUUCGGAAGUGCCUCUGAAACUGGCCGGCUAGAGAGGAGGUGCGGUAGGCGGAAUGUAUGGUGUAGCGGUGAAAUGCUUAGAGAUCACACAGAACCCCGAUUGCGAAGGCAGCUUACCAAGCUCCUUCUGACGCUGAGGCACGAAAGCGUGGGGAGCAAACAGGAUUAGAUACCCCAGUAGUC
rnacentral:rRNA from 1 species